GAGUUUGAUCGUGGCUCAGAUUGAACGCUGGCGGCAUGCCUUACACAUGCAAGUCGAACGGCAGCAUGAUCUAGCUUGCUAGAUUGAUGGCGAGUGGCGAACGGGUGAGUAAUACAUCGGAACGUGCCCUGUAGUGGGGGAUAACUAGUCGAAAGAUUAGCUAAUACCGCAUACGACCUGAGGGUGAAAGUGGGGGACCGCAAGGCCUCAUGCUAUAGGAGCGGCCGAUGUCUGAUUAGCUAGUUGGUGGGGUAAAGGCCCACCAAGGCGACGAUCAGUAGCUGGUCUGAGAGGACGAUCAGCCACACUGGGACUGAGACACGGCCCAGACUCCUACGGGAGGCAGCAGUGGGAAUUUUGGACAAUGGGCGAAAGCCUGAUCCAGCAAUGCCGCGUGUGUGAAGAAGGCCUCGG
rnacentral:rRNA from 1 species